UUGUAGCUUAGCGGUAAAGCAUUCGUUUCGUAAACGAAAGAUUAUGAGUUCAAUUCUCAUCAAGG
rnacentral:tRNA from 1 species